AUGCGGGGUUUCGUUGACAUCUCUUGCCUAAACGUUGGGGUUCUCUACUUGAUCCCCAAAGUUCAGGGGGUGGAGUGUAUUAGACAAUUUAGGCCCAUAGUGCACAUUAACAUUCCAUUUAAAAUUUUCUCUAAGGCUUGUUCCACUCGUCUCUCUCCGGUAGCUCAUCGUAUCAUUAGUAGGAGUCAGUCCGCCUUUAUCCACGGCCGCAAUAUUCUGGAGGGGUCGCUCGCCCUUCAGGAAAUAGUUCACUCGCUCAAACGUUCUUGCCAGCCAGCCAUCUUACUGAAACCGGACUUCGAGAAGGCGUAUGACCGCGUGAACUGGGACUUUUUCAGACAAGUUCUCCUGGACAAGGGUUUCUCAUCGGUUUGGGUUCACCGCAUGAUGCAAUUGGUCUCGGGGGGCCAAGCGGCGAUUGCGGUGAACAGAGAAGUAGGGAACUUCUUCCGCAACAAGCAUGGGCUUCGUCAAGGGGACCCUUCCACCCCACUGUUGUUUAAUUUCGUGGCCGAUGCCCUGGGCGCCAUGUUAGAUAAAGCCCGUGCUGCUGGCCACAUCAGGGGAGUGGCCGGUAACUUGAUCACCGGGGAGGGGGGUGUCGCACCUGCAGUACGUGAACGACACACUCCUUCUUCUCGAUCCGGACACGCACAGUAUUGCCAUGAUUAA
rnacentral:rRNA from 1 species